rnacentral:rRNA from 1 species
UACGUAGGCAGCAAACGUUGUUCGGAAUUGCUGGGCGUAAAGAGUGUGUAGGCGAUUUCGCAAGUUUGGUGUGAAAUCUCCCGGCUUAACUGGGAGGGUGCGCCGAAAACUGCGGGGCUUGAGUGCUGGAGAGGAUAGCGGAAUUCCUGGUGUAGCGGUGAAAUGCGUAGAUAUCAGGAGGAACACCGGCGGUGUAGACGGCUAUCUGGACAGCUACUGACGCUGAGACACGAAAGCGUGGGGAGCAAACAGG